rnacentral:rRNA from 1 species
AUUGAACGCUGGCGGCAGGCCUAACACAUGCAAGUCGAGCGAGCGGCGGACGGGUGAGUAAUGUAUGGGGACUGCCCGAUGGAGGGGGAUAACUACUGGAAACGGUGGCUAAUACCGCAUACUAUCGGAUAACCCAUAUGGGAUUAGCUAGUAGGUGGGGUAAAGGCUCACCUAGGCGACGAUCCCUAGCUGGUCUGAGAGGAUGACACGCCACACUGGGACUGAGACACGGCCCAGACUCCUACGGAGGCAGCGGUGGGGAAUAUUGCACAAUGGGCACAAGCCUGAUGCAGCAAUGCGGCGUGUGGGAAGAAGGCCUUCGGGUUGAAAAGUACUUUCAGCGGGGAGGCGUUACCCGAAGAAGAAGCACCGGCUAACUCCGUGCCAGCAGCCGCGGUAAUUC